CGUAAAUACGUGGAAGAUGAACCAUACUUGUUACAAGAAGUACAUAUCAGAAAAAAAUAUAGUUAUUGUUGAGCCAGUGAAUGCAAAAACCGUUAUUGUGUCUUUAUUUUUUCGCAAAGGAUCUGAAGAUUUUGAUCUCAACUUGACUGAAGUUGCGCAAGAAAUGAAGAGAGAAAGAGUUUCUGUCUAUUUAUUAAGAGGUUGCAUCGUUAUGCAGGGAUGCUUUAUUGAGCCGAAGGAAUUUAGAAACAAUCAGAGCUCAUCUAAAGGAAUGGCAAAGAUUUUGAUACUCUCCACAGAACCCUUGACCCAGUCCCUAAAGGAUAACCCAGUGAAAGUCACUGACAAAACAAAAAUUAUUGUUCAGUCAGUCAGGAGGAAAUGUGAACUUGGAAACAAGAACAAUGAGAUCCUAGCAGGUCUUGAUGAUACAGUGAGAGAACUUCAAGAAGUGUUAAGCUAUCCUUUUCAGUAUCCAAAGUGCUUUAGUCAUUUAAGACUUGAGUGCCCCAAGGGAAUUUUACUGCAAGGAGCCCCAGGGGUUGGGAAGACUCACCUUGUUAAGAGUGUAACUUCACAGUGCAGUGCAAAGUUAAUAACACUGGAUGGCACACAUGUGUUUGGGCCACAUCCAGGAGAGAGUGAAGAAAAUUUGAGGAAAACUUUUGAGAUUGCAAGGAAUGCUUCACAGCGUGGUCCAUGUGUUUUAUUCAUUGAUGAACUUGAUGCUCUGUGUCCAAAGAGAGGAAGUAGUGGAAAUGAACAAGAGGAUAGAAUUGUUGCCCAGCUUCUUACUCUUCUUGAUGGUUUGGAAUCUCGAGGUCAACUCGUCAUCAUUGGAGCAACAAACAGACCAAAUGCUAUUGACCCUGCACUUCGAAGGCUGGGCAGACUUGAUAGAGAGGGAAGCAGCAUUUGUGGCCUUGAAAAGAAUGAUAAAUCACAGCAACAAUGGGAACCCCUACAGUAUAAGUGUACAAGAAAUUUUGAAAGGCAAUGAAGGUAAUGUAAUUGAAUUCUGGAUCGGGGAGUGUGGAUUCAAGUCUUAGCUGUGGUCAUAGAAUUGUGUACUUUAGCAAAACACUUUUCUCUUGUAGUACAUCUCUUCAGCUAACUGAAUUGCUGAGUUAGUGGGCGGGGUGGGGGGUGGGAGUAAACUGUGCUCUUGAUUGGUUGAACAGUGAUUCCCAUAGUAUUACUGGUAAGGAAAUAAUUUGGUAACAGGUCCAGCUAGAAGUGUAGGAAUUAACAGAGAGUCGACUGUCUCCACAAUGGCCACAUUGGGGACAGAGGAAAGUGACCAUUGCGACCAUUAUGGACAGAUAACGUUGGUGAAAUAACCAUGGCAGAUUUCCAGCUAGCACUGUGCCAUAUUCUGCCAUCUAUGUACCGAGGUUUGGAAGGAAUGGUUGAAUGGAAUCCUGUGAGCUGGGAAGAUAUUGGGGGACUACAAAAUGUGAAACAAGCUCUGAAGCAGGUGGGGAAGGAUACGUCACUGGCUUGUGCGUUUUGCACACUUUCCAAAAAGCCUGCAACAAGAAUUUUUUAAUUUCAUUACAUGGUCAAGCAGAAAAAAAGAAAAUUAAACAGCAUAGAAAUAUCGCCUUGACGUACACAAAUAGUAAUACAAUUUAUACCACGAAGUGUGCAAGGAGAUGUAAUAGUUUGAGAUCGACACGCAAGGGUUAAAGAUAAUUUGUAACAUCUCUUGAUAGUGUACAAUUAGCUGGCCUGUGUACA
rnacentral:misc_RNA from 1 species